rnacentral:piRNA from 1 species
UGGUCCUCAUUUAGGUUUUAGUUGCUAGAUU